AUAAAUUAAGUUGGAAAAAUAUUGUUAAGUGUUUAUUCAUCAAAAGUGGCAAUGCAUACGAAGUAAAAUGAAUUUUGUCAUUUAUAUUGUCUUUUUAUUGUUGGCAAUUUGGAAAGUUUAUCUAUCUUCAAGAAAAAACAGUGAUGAUGAAUGAGUAGUGCCGAGAAUAAAGUGUAUCUUUAGUUUCGAAUGUUUCUUUUAGUUCAAACCAAAUAGUAUACAUUCGCUCAUUUUUUCCCCAGAUUACAUUUUUCAGUUGGUUCUUGGAGUUUCUCACAAAAAGAUGAUUAUAGAUUUCAGUUAGAUUUGUGGCCUGAUUAUGAUACAGAGGAGCCAGAGUACAUGGAAAAAGAGACUUUAAAUUCAGCUGUAGUUGAAGAUCGUGAUAUGAUAGAUUAUUGGUGAUUUCUAAUAUGGAACAACAGUGAUUUCUAAUAUGGAACAAUGAAUUUUAAUGUAAAAAAAACGAUUUCAAAAUUGUGAAAAUGAAAGAAAUAAUCAAAAAAAUAUACGUGACACGAUACGAGUAAUUCUUUUGUAUUCACAUUUACUUCAGUGUUUAACUUUAACAUUCCGAAACUGACCAAACACCAAUAUAAAUAAACUGCAUAUCAACACAUUUAAUCAAAGGUCAUACGAUAAGGUUGUGCAUUGUUCUAAAAUUAUAAGGCAAACCAAAAUGGCUUCAACAGAGAUAAAUAAGGUUCAUUUCACUUUCAAAUCCUAUAUAAAUGGAUGUUACUCAUUUUAACAAAGUUCAUAUUUGGUCUAACCGUUGCAAGUAAAACUACAUAAAAAUGGGCUACAAAGCUUGCUGCAUUCUCGUAUUUAUUGUCAUAAUUUGUCAAAUGUGUUCGACACUUUGCAUUCCGCAAGAGAAGGAUUUCAAAAUUGAUGACUUGUUUGAAGAGAUAGACUUAUCGGAAGAUGAAACUGAGAAAGUGCCGCAAAAAAUAAAGUCCAGCUAAGAUGAUUCAACUUAUUAUUAUAAUAAUUAAUUAUUAAGUAACCGAUGCACUAACAUCAAAUAUAGACCGUGUGGUGAGAAAUGAUGCAACUGUGUCAUCAGACAUAUAAGCAAUAGCAACAUGUGUAUCUUAUUUCAACAAAUUGGACCGAAAUUUACACCAUUGCCGACGUUUUUUAUUUCCACCAACGCUUUGAAAAUUUUGGCGCACGAAGGUGCCAAUUUUUGUGUUCGACAUAACAAUCACUUUCACAUCAAAAAUCAUGUUCAGCUUUAAAAUAAUAAAAAGUGUUUAAUUUUGUCAAACAAGUCUUAUUUACAAAAUAAAAACUAAACAUGGAUAAUACUUAUUGAA